rnacentral:rRNA from 1 species
GACGAACGCUGGCGGCGCGCCUAACCCAUGCAAGUCGAACGAGCGAGAGAGAGCUUGCUUUCUUGAGCGAGUGGCGAACGGGUGAGUAACGCGUGAGGAACCUGCCUCAAAGAGGGGGACAACAGUUGGAAACGACUGCUAAUACCGCAUAAGCCCACGGUGCCGCAUGGCACAGAGGGAAAAGGAGCAAUCCGCUUUGAGAUGGCCUCGCGUCCGAUUAGCUAGUUGGUGAGGUAACGGCCCACCAAGGCGACGAUCGGUAGCCGGACUGCGAGGUUGAACGGCCACAUUGGGACUGAGACACGGCCCAGACUCCUACGGGAGGCAGCAGUGGGGAAUAUUGCACAAUGGGGGAAACCCUGAUGCAGCGACGCCGCGUGGAGGAAGAAGGUCUUCGGAUUGUAAACUCCUGUUGUUGGGGAAGAUAAUGACGGUACCCAACAAGGAAGUGACGGCUAACUACGUG